CAGAGAAUAGUUUAGUCCAAAAUACCAGCUUUGGGAGUUGGAGAUAGAGGUUUAAAUCCUCUUUUUCUGA
rnacentral:tRNA from 1 species